rnacentral:precursor_RNA from 1 species
UGCUGCAGCCACUGCUGGUCUGGAGGCCACGCGUGGAGACCCGCUGGGCUGCAGCUGC